rnacentral:rRNA from 1 species
CACGUAGUUAGCCGGUGCUUAUUCUUACGGUACCGUCAUGGGCCCCUGUAUUAGAAGGAGCUUUUUCGUUCCGUACAAAAGCAGUUUACAACCCGAAGGCCUUCAUCCUGCACGCGGCAUUGCUGGAUCAGGCUUUCGCCCAUUGUCCAAAAUUCCCCACUGCUGCCUCCCGUAGGAGUCUGGGCCGUGUCUCAGUCCCAGUGUGGCUGGUCGUCCUCUCAGACCAGCUACAGAUCGUCGGCUUGGUAAGCUUUUAUCCCACCAACUACCUAAUCUGCCAUCGGCCGCUCCAAUCGCGCGAGGCCCGAAGGUCCCCCGCUUUCAUCCUCAGAUCGUAUGCGGUAUUAGCUACUCUUUCGAGUAGUUAUCCCCCACGACUGGGCACGUUCCGAUGUAUUACUCACCCGUUCGCCACUCGUCAGCGUCCGAAGACCUGUUACCGUUCGACUUGCAUGUGUAAGGCAUGCCGCCAGCGUUCAAUCUGAGCCAGGAUCAAACUC